UACGUAGAGGGCGAGCGUUAUCCGGAUUUACUGGGCAUAAAGCGCAUGUAGGCGGUUUUUUAAGUCAGAUGUUAAAUGCUCCAGCUCAACUGGGGUAUGCAUUUGAAACUGGAAUACUAGAGAUCAGGAGAGGGAAGCGGAACUCACGGUGUAGCGGUGAAAUGCGUAGAUAUCGUGAGGAACACCAGUUGCGAAAGCGGCUUUCUGGACUGAAUCUGACGUUGAGAUGCGAAAGCGUGGGGAGCAAACGGG
rnacentral:rRNA from 1 species